CACUACCUACUGUCGACCCGCCACUAGCUGUGAGCCUCUCUCUUUUCUUUUCUUUUCUUUUCUUUUUUUAGUUAAUUUUGAUGCCAUUUUAAUUUAGAAUUUGAAGUCUUGAAGUGAUAUUUUAUAUGUAUUGAUCAUUUGAUUGGUGAUUUAUUAUGUGAAUUGUGAUGAUAUAUGAUUUAUGUAAAUUAGGAAAUUUGUAAAUGUGUGAUAUCUGUGAUAAAUGAUAAACUGGGGAAAUUUGUGAUAUGUGAUAAAUGAUAAAUUGGAGUUGAAAAUUAGAAAUUGAAAUUAGAUGAUAGUUUAAAAUUAUGUUUAAUUUAUGUUUAAACUGUGAUUUACAUUUAAUUUUUUUUUUAUAGAAUAUGGGUUGAAUUGAAUUAUAUUUUCAUAUGUAUAUGACUUUUAUAUUAUAGUGCAUUUAUAUAUAAAUUGAAAUUUUUUUAUCAUUAUAUAAUUAAAUAUUUGUAAACAACAUCGUUGUUACGGCUAUUGACUGUCGAUUAUCAAUGAUCAAUGUUCAACGACCACUCUAGUUCACUAACAUUCCUGAAUCUGCCACUUCUAACACAACCACAAACCACCACUGCCCGAACUACCACAAGACCACCACACACCACCACCGCAUUGCACUACCACAAACAUGAUGAAUAGAGACCGAGAAACCACUCACCACCACCACCGGGUUGCUUCGGCAUCUCCAUGUCAACACGUUAACCACGAUGAUGUCAAAUAUUGCCAGAAUUUCAUAAUUAUUGCAACACGCAUUCCAGUCGAUGUUUCAUUCAUCAUGUAUCGUUGUUGACAGUGGUAUAGUUUUAGAUCUAUUUGACGGAAGUACGAUCCUUCUGAUCUGGGAUGCUUUGAAAUCAUAUUCGAUUUUAGCCUUGGACUAUUAGCGUUGCUGCAACACCUGUCAACUGUGUCGAAGUCAAUAAUAUCUGACAGUACUCUGUCAGCUUACCAAACAGAGCUAUAGCCUUAUAUCCUCCAAUGCCACCACAUAAGACCAUUCAGUCUGCAUUUACUCCGCAUAUUUGUAGCCUUAUCUUGCAAAAUAUGUCUCUAAAUACUGUGUCACUCUUCCUCUCUCAUUUCCUGCAAGUACUAUUUUCCUCUUAAGUUUAAACUUUGUUGUGGUGAGAUUUUAGUUUGAUAUUUUGCUUUUGUAGGAUGAGGACCCUGGUUUCGCCAUUGUUGUGGUGUGAGAGGGACGGUGAUAGGUAACGGAGAUGGUGGCUUGAAGGUGUCCUAAUGGUGCAGAUUGUAGCGGUGGUUGGGUAUAAUAAUAUUGUAUGUUAUAAUAUGGCUUGAAGGUAGAGAUAGGUAACGGAGAUGGUGGCUUGAAGGUGUCCUAAUGGUGCAGAUUGUUGCGGUGGUCGGGUAUAAUAAUAUGGUAUGUUAAUGUUAUAAGAGAUGUGACAGUAGAUAUGCAAUGUAAUACGAAAUGUUACAAGUGGUAGUAGAGGUGGCCGAAGUGAUGAUAAAAAUAGAUGGAUAUAUGUGUAACACAUACUGUUAUAAGUGGUGGUCGUGGCGGCAAGAACAUGUGAACUUCCACCAUUCCACAAAGUUAUGCUUGCUUCCAUUUAC
rnacentral:lncRNA from 1 species